rnacentral:misc_RNA from 1 species
GAUGAAGAACGUAGUGAAGUGCGAUAAGUAAUGUGAAUUGCAGAAUUCCGUGAAUCAUCGAAUCUUUGAACGCAUAUUGCACUUUCUGGUAUUCCGGAAAGUAUGCCUGUUUGAGGGUCAGUUAAAUAAAAAUCGGUGUUGUUGCUACCCCGUAGUGGUGUUAAUGCAUCGGAAUUGAGUUGUCUUAACCUUUUUUGGUUAAGUGACUUAAAAUUAUGUACGAUUUUUUGAACGUAUUUAAAUUGCUUACGUAUGUUCAUAAUAAAUCAAAUAUUAGGUGCGGUCAUUCUCAUGAUUUUCGCAUCUAUAAUUUUUUCAUUUUUUGACCUCAAAUCAGGUAAGAGUACCCGCUGAACUUAAGCAUAUCAAUAAGCGGAGGA